rnacentral:rRNA from 1 species
AUUGAACGCUGGCGGCAGGCCUAACACAUGCAAGUCGAACGAGUGGCGGACGGGUGACUAAUGUCUGGGAAACUGCCCGAUGGAGGGGGAUAACUACUGGAAACGGUAGCUAAUACCACAUACCAUCGUAUGUCCCCAGAUGGGAUGAGCUAGUAGGUGGGGUAACGGCUCACCUAGGCGACGAUCCCUAUCUGGUCUGAGAGGAUGACCAGCCACACUGGAACUGAGACACGGUCCAGACUCCUACGGGAGGCAACAGUGGGGAAGAUUGCACAAUGGGCGCAAGCCUGAUACAGCCAUGCCGCGUGUAUGAAGAAGGCCUUCGGGUUGUAAAGUACUUUCAGCGAGGAGGCGUUACUCGCAGAAGAAGCACCGGCUAACUCCGUGCCAGCAGCCGCGGUAAUAC